rnacentral:lncRNA from 1 species
CAAAGUCAUGCUGUGUCACCUGUCACUUAUUAUACUCGGCAGAAACUGUAGUUGUUUGAUUUUGAAGUUUAUAACUGUAGAGCUAUUGAUUCAUGUCAUGUGAGUAGCAUUUGAUGUUACCAUAUAUUGACGUUGGAAACUUCAAUGGAAGGAUUCAUCAAGAUUAAGAUUGACUACAGAUUCACCAGCCUGUCAAGAAAGUAAUGGAUGGGCUAAUAAAUUCUAAAAAACUGUAGGAAAUCAAUUAUGAUUUACAAGGGAGUGAUUUUUCACCUGCAUGGCUUGUCCAUCAGAAGUUUGGAAUUGAUAACUUUUGAUGAGGUGAAAGAAGUGGCUUGCACUUCUUCAUGACUUCAAGUUCUU